AGUCUGUCUCACAGAGGGUGCUUGGUAAAUGAAUGAAAAAAACCAACACAACCCUGGAAACAGGUGUGCACGUACAACUCAAUCCACGCAUGCGCGGAGGCAGAGCCCCAGGACCGCGAGACUACCCGCACAGCUUCUCUUUAGGCCCCACAGCUGGAACUCCAAAUUGCCUAGUCCCAACCCAUGCACUCUCUAAUCCGGCGCCACACGCCGGGCCUUCCCCACCACCUCAUCUGCUUGGGAACGUAAAGGGUUCUGUGAGGCAGCUGCAGCUUUCGUGCCCAUCUGUCUCCAGAGCUUCCCAUCUCUGGAACGCGGGAGGGAACAGAGCUCUAGCCUGAAUAACUGAGCCCGGCCCGGCAGUUCCCGAGAUUCACCAGAGAAUAAGCCUGAUGGGAAGUCUGGAGAUAACAGGACACCCAACCAGCAGGUCCCGGUGUGGUUCCGCUCCCGUGUUCUCAUUAUUCGGCUCCCACUUCAUGGAAUACUCACUGGGAAAGACCCUCUCUCCUUCCCCAAGAAAAAGAAGAAGAAAAAAAGAAUAUACAGAGUCUGGGAAGAUGCUGUAUAAUCUACUUAGGAGAGCAAUAAACUACACCGUUUUGGACAAUGAAGACUUAGUGGUGACAAAAGGACAAUAUUUUAUGUGGAAGUAACUUGCAGCAGAUUGCUAAGAGGAAUAAAUGAGGUCACUGUGUUGUCUCUACUGUACGUGCAUAGAAAUAAGUUAAAUAGAAAUUAAGUACUCUCUUUUGUGACCAUUGCUACCACUAAUUGGCUUAAGACAUAAAUGAAAGAAUAGAUGAAUAAUUGAAAGAAUGUUAAACUUACCAUUGAAUAUAAACAUAAAUCAAUAAAGAACAAUUUAUAUGUACUCUUCAGAAAAAUUAGAGUGCUUGAAACUAUUCACAAAAUAAAAAGCUUGUUUUGUUUUUAA